AAUUUACAUAUACAUGAUAUAUAUUUGGCUGCAUAGCUAUAUAAUUAUGACUACGCAGAUAAAUAUACACAUAUAAUAAUAAAUAAAUUUAUAUAUAUUCGUAAUUAUGAUUAUGUCGAAAAAUAUUAUGUACAUAUGUAUGUAUAUAUACAUGUAUAUGAAAAGGCAGUUUUAAGGUCAUUUUUAUUGAUAAAAAGGCAGUUUUCAAGACUUCUGGCAGUUGUCAGGUCAAUUUUGAAAUUUUGUCAUCGAAAGCGUUCAGGACCGUUCUUGACUGCGUUCCGUUUCAACGCAUGAUGCGCAUAAUGCAUUAUUCAUCCUUGUUUAACGUUUGACAAACAACAAGGAUGAACGAUGCAUCAUGUGUACCAUGCGUGAAACGGAACGUACCCCUUGUGUUUCUCAUAGGCUGCGGUCGAGUUGCCGCUACAAAUGCUUCGAAGCGUUUGAUUAACCAAUCAAAAGAAUAAAUUUAUAAAUUGACGAAUCAAAGAAUGCUUCGAAGUAUUCGUAGGGGCAACUUGACCGCACUCACAACUAUACGAAUGUAAGCGUUUAAACGUGUAGUCAAGAGUCGCACAUCGGUUGCGAAUGUGUUAACGAAAUUUUUGAACGUGGCUGAUGCAAUCGGCUGUAUUUAUAUCUGCUAUUCCUUUUUGCAUCCUCAACUUCAGCAUUUUUAUCUAUUACAUCACGGCAUUUUUCAUUACUUAUUACGCUCAUCAUAGCUCAACAUAUAUUAUUAUACCUCAUGGUCCUAUCGUCCCAUAUCUUCGGAGGGAUUAAGAAGAGAAGUGUAAUGUCAAGAGCUGCGUUCAGUUUCACGUAUUAUGCGCAUCAUACGUGGAACAAAACGCAGCUAAAUUGUUAAGCUGCUGCAAUGCAAUAUUGUAUCUGUUGAUUGUGUGGAUCGGUGCAAACCUCAAAGAGAGGUAGAUAGCUUUUUUGGAGAUUUUAAAUAUGAUAUAGUU